rnacentral:rRNA from 1 species
AUCUACGGCCAUGCCAUCCUGAACAAGCCCGAUCCCAUCUGAUCUUGGAAGCUAAGCAAGGUCGGGUCUGGUUACUUCUUGGCUGGGAGAUCACCUAGGAAGAUCAGGUGCUGUAGGUG